GUUUUUAAUUUCUAAUAGGUUUUCAAUUUUGAUCAAAUUCAAAAAUCUUCGUGCUACUGCGAUUUGUUGAUAUUGAUCAACCAUGGUUUCCCCAAAUAAAAAGAAUCGAUCAAUCAUCAAUGGAAAGCGUAGUUUCCGACUUUAAUUCCCCGUUUGAGAAUUCUGAAUUAUUUUUCACUUCAGGUUUGUUUUUAAGCAGAAAAUUAUAAGGACCUAGCUGUGACAGAAUCAAGAUCAUGGAAGAAGAAGGUUUUUGCAAUUGAGUUCAGGGUCCUUGUCUUCCAUUGAAUCCGCUUUCAUCAAGAUGGCUUUGUGGCGUUCCAGUUCAUCUUUGAUGUGUUGAACAUCUUCACGGACCCCUCUUUGUAAAUUCACUUCUUCUUGAAGUAAGGAACUUAGCUUGUCCAAUAAAAAUGAUACUGAACUAUCUGCCAUUUUUAUGGCGUUGCCUUAAAUUUCUAUCUUUCUCUCUUUCUUUUUUUUGCUCUCUAGAUGAGAAUAAUUGCAAGACUUGGUGAUGAGAUUUCUGAGUGUGUUUUUUUCUCUUUUUUUUCUUCCACUUCUUUUGAUAGGACUCACAAUUUGCAAGGACUUGAUGGGAGACAAGAUACAGGUUGCCUUCCCAUCAUAACUUUGCCCACUUUGAAAAUCUAUUUUGGUAGAAGGAUCUUCCAAUUUUAUGUAGAAAUUUCUAGGUUCAAGACAAUAAUUUUACACUAAAGUCAUGUGAUCAUCGUUUUAAACUACUAUUCAUAGGAGGUGAUGAGGUUCCGAAGUCACUCCCAAUGAAUUUCCCAAUAUCCCUCUUUAUAAGUUUAACUUUAAAAGCUUUUCUAAAAUCAACAAUGACAAAUAUUGUCUUGAUCUAUUACUUGAUAAAAUCUCUAUAUUACUUUUGUUCA